CUAGAGAGCCGCCUCUUGCAAGCUGCCCUUCGUUCCGUCUUCACCCUGGGCACGGAGAAGGACACCAUCAACAUCCAGGCUCUGCACAAAGUCAUGCCAGAGCUCCUGGAUGCCGAGCUGGGGAACCUGUUGGCAGAGUCCCCAGACGCAGACAGGCUCCACUACAUCUUGGAGUGUCCAGGGUGUCCCAGGAGAGAGCCAGGGCCAUUAGGAGCAGCACGGCCCUGCUCAGAUUUGCAGUCACCCUCCCUGAGUUUGAUGGCUGACCAUACACGAGGCAGAAGAUCUGUGGUGCCACGAGUGGCACCAGGACAGCAGGCUCCUGGGCUAUAAGAACACAGCCAGGGUGGGGGAGGUCUUUGGAAAAUUCUUCUCUGAGGGGCAGAGAAAAUACUUCCUCCAGACAGCAAUGCUGGCGAUCCAUGACCCCCUGCUGCGUGUCAGCCAGGCUGGGCUGCUCCUCACAUACUCCAUCCUGGGGGAAGCCCAGCAACUGAUGGGGGACAAGCUGGAGGAUGUCACAGCCAAGGUGAUGUGCGAGCUCCGCAUCAUCCAGCACUUGCACCAGGUGCCCGAGGCGCUGCAAGGGCUGCGCCUCAUCUGAUGCCCUUAAAGGUUCCCCUCCCAUGUUCAGCAACUCCCGCUCCCUGCUGCAGCAAGAGGCUCCCCAGAGAUGUCCUCAAACCUGUUCUCCUGAGAGCGUUUCUGGGAGGAGGCUCCCGUCCCUCAGUCUCCAACUCCAUCAUGCAGUCUCAUUCACAUAACAUCUCUGCUCUCCAGCUCCACUUCCCGCAGCAGGACAAACAAACCUUCAGCUCCUGGAGACCUGACUCUGACCUCCUUCUGAUCAGCAAUGGGGUUUCACCAUCCCCUCAACAAACCUGUCAGCCUCUGAAUGAUGAAUGUCAGAGUCACCAGAACCAGCAAAACUCCAUCUGCAGCCAGUCGAGCCUUUGUGAACUUAGCCCCUCUGGAAACCAGGUCUGAACUGGAGAGGUCUGAACUCAUGGACUCAUAGACUUUAAGGUCAGAAGGGACCAUUAUGAUCAUCUAGUCUGACCUCCUGCACAAUACAGGCCACAGAAUCUCACCUACCCACUUUUGUAACAAACCCCUAACCUAUGUCUGAACUAUUGAAGUCCUCAAAUAAUGGUUUAAAGACUUUAAGGUGCAGAGAAUACUCCAGCACGUGAACCAGGCCCUAUACUGCAGAGGAAGGUGAAAAACCCCCAGGGCCUCUGCCAAUCUGCCCUGGAGGAAAAUUUCUUCCCGAGCCUAAAUAUGGCGAUCAGCUAAACACUGAGCAUGUGGGCAAGACUCACCUGAACCCAAUAAGAGCAGGACUGGGCAGAGCAGGUCUGUAACAGGGAAAGGAGAGUGCUUUCCCCUGGGCUGCAGAGCCUGGGGCUUAGCCAAACUGAUUACAGAAUGAGUCCUACCUCAGAGGGACCAUGUAUUGGCCCCGAAAGAACCAGACUUCAGUGGCAAUAAAGCCUAGCUGGGCUAUGAACUGGAAUGAGAACUAGGUAGGACGUUGAAAGCAGCAAGGAAAGCCUAGAAGGGAACUUGAGAAGAGAGGUAGGAUGUGCCCAGAGAAACCUGCAGCAAAGAGAAAAGAGCAGACCUAGCUGUUGAGUAUAGAGCCCUGGGCUGCUAUCAGUGUCAGGGUGGGACCGGGUUCCUCUACUGGCCCCAAAGAAGGGAGCAUACAUGCACCCAGAGCAGGUUACCAAGCCCAGCAAGGGAGCUACAGGCUGAGCCAGAGCCCCAGCGAGAGCAGAAGAACUUUUUUUCUCUGGGAAGACCUCUUUGGACUGUCAGUGUGUGACAAGCUGAGCCCCAGAAGCGUGGACUAAAGGUGGUGAGCUGGCCAGAGGGACAAAUUACCAGGCAGAGAGACUGCCAUGGUGCUGGAGUGACCAUAGAUGGAGGACCAGAGGGCACCUAACAAUGAGUAGAUUAAUUUAUUAUUGGCAUAGUCAGCAGGAUUGAAUUCCCCUGUCAUCCGUGAGGGCUCAUGGAAGUCUUGGUUACUGAAGGAAGAUCCGUCCCCCCAAGUGGGAUUUCCCAUUUGAGUUCCAGGGACUGGUUAAGCAGCCAAAGCAGGUCUCGGGGUUUCUCCAGCAACUCCUAGAAACCCAACAGAAGCAGAAGGAAGUGCAGGCAGAGCUACAGAUGCAGCUGGU